UAGUUUAGAGGUUUUAGCAAGCCCUCCUAAUCCCCGGUUUAGAACGAUCCCUACUUACAUACUUUACUACAUUUGAUAAAAAGAGGGUUUAAUUUGUGUGCUUAUAUAUUUCGCACCAGUAGCAAUCAAUUAUUCAUCCUUUGCAUAAGCAGCGGAGCGAAAUUCAGAUAUGGAACGCUCAAGAUCUUGAAUCUGAGGUAUGUAACGUUCGAUUUCCUUCUCUGCACUUUCAUACUUUAUUUGGAUCGCAUCAAGCCUAGUCUUCAAAUCCAUGAUCUCCUGGCGAGCGGCCUCAAGCUGCAGAGAAGUGGGGGCAGAAGUAUUAGAUUCCUUCAAAACAGCAAGCUCAGAUUCCAAUU
rnacentral:lncRNA from 1 species